AUAGCGUAUAUUAAAGUUGUUGCAGUUAAAAAGCUCGUAGUUGAACCUUGGGCUCGACUGACCGGUCCGCCUAACCGCGUGCACUGGUCGGGUCGGGCCCUUACCUCUGGGGAGCUGCAUGCCCUUCACUGGGCGUGUCAGGGAACCAGGACUUUUACUUUGAAAAAAUUAGAGUGUUCAAAGCAGGCCUUUGCUCGGAUACAUUAGCAUGGAAUAAUAGAAUAGGACUGCGAUCCUAUUUUGUUGGUUUCUAGGAUCGCCGUAAUGAUUAAUAGGGAUAGUUGGGGGCAUUAGUAUUCAGUUGCUAGAGGUGAAAUUCUUGGAUUUACUGAAGACUAACUACUG
rnacentral:rRNA from 1 species